rnacentral:tRNA from 1 species
CAUUAAGAAGCUAAAUAAGCAUCAACCUUUUAAGUUAAAGACUGGGGGUUUAAAUCUCCCCUUAAUGA